UAUGACAUACCAAAUGAUAGCCAGGCUGCAGUGGCUCACACUUUAUCCCAGCACUAGGGAGGCAGAGGCAGGUGGAUCUCUGUGAGUUCAAGGACAGCCUGAUCCACAGAAUAAUUCUCUACGCUUAGAGAAGGGAGAAAAUACUCUCUCUGAGCCCUGGGGACAGGCUUGUUGGAGACAGGGAUUAUGUCACUGCAGCUACCUCUUCAUCCUGUCUGUUCUCUGCUCAUCACUCUUGUCCCCAGGCCUCUGCGCAGACUCACUCCCCAAACACUUGCUGCCAGGCACCUUUAAGGAGCGUGAACUGGGGAGCCUUGCCACCACAAGGAUGUUCAAGGCAGAUGUUACCCCUGAGUGGAGGAAGCUGACAGAGCCCACAGGCAAGUGAGCAACCCCAAACCAAGAAAACCGGAGUGAUCUUUUUCCAGUCCAGUCCCCUCGGGAGCUGAUAUACAUAGCAAAGCUAAGAGGCUUGGCUCCCUCCGAGAAGCUAUAAACACCACAGCAGAUUCUGUUUGCCUGGAAAUCUUUUCUGAGUGUGGAUGGCAGCCAUCAGAUGGUAACUUGCACGCUGCCAAUCUCAUCCCUUCUGGACCAUUAGCUUAUGUUGCUGCUUUGGAAGUUCAACAAUACUAAAUCUGUCUAUUGGUGAGUUCCAACAGUGCAUGAAAUUACUUCUGGACAGUCCACUUUGCUGGGUAUUUCAGCCCUGGAGGUGAUGGGGAGAGGGGAAGCUGGAUUGGCUGCUCUCAUGCUCUCAGAAGGGACCGGGUACCAACAUGCGUCCCACCUCCUGGUGAAGACGCAACUUGCUACCAGGACUUCUCCUCUUGGUGCCAAAUGUUUUUCCUCU